rnacentral:rRNA from 1 species
CACCAGACUCCUACGGGAGGCAGCAGUGGGGAAUAUUGCACAAUGGGGGAAACCCUGAUGCAGCAACGCCGCGUGAGUGAAGAAGUAUUUCGGUAUGUAAAGCUCUAUCAGCAGGGAAGAAGAUGACGGUACCUGAGUAAGAAGCCCCGGCUAACUACGUGCCAGCAGCCGCGGUAAUACGUAGGGGGCAAGCGUUAUCCGGAUUUACUGGGUGUAAAGGGAGCGUAGACGGUGGGACAAGUCUGAAGUGAAAGCCCGGGGCUCAACCCCGGGACUGCUUUGGAAACUGCCUGACUGGAGUGCUGGAGAGGCAAGCGGAAUUCCUAGUGUAGCGGUGAAAUGCGUAGAUAUUAGGAAGAACACCAGUGGCGAAGGCGGCUUGCUGGACAGUAACUGACGUUGGGGCUCGAAAGCGUGGGGAGCAAACAGGAUUAGAUACCCCGUA